GUCCUAGACAGACCUCAUUCUAGACUCUGCUCUGCCACAGAUCGUCGGUGUCUGUCUCUGUAUGCUUAAUUACAAAAAAAUGGGGAUUAUAAAUAAAGUAAUGCUCCCUUUUCCCUCAGAGAGAUGCGGUGAACAUCAGGGAGACCAGACUUGAAGCUCCACCCACAGUUGGGCAAGGUGGACCAAAGGGCUCUGUUCUGAUCCAAAGCUGGAUGAAGACCAGUGUUUCUAAAGUUAAAUGAAGUGGGCUGAGUUUGGAGCUGUGGAAUCUGGGGCUAUGAACUUUGGAGCUAUGGAGCGUGGGGCUGUGGAGGCAUGGACUGUGUUCAUCCAGCAUAUUCCUCUGACCUUCUUCUGGCUUAUGUCUGCUUCUUCCAUCACCUGAACCACUCUUUUGCUGGGGAACACUUCUGUAACUGGCUUUGUGAAGAUGACAUUUUCCAAGAAUUCAUUGGAUAUGAAGGCACAAGUUUUUACAUUAUUGGAAAGCCAAACCUGUCUCACUGGGGAAAAAAAAAUGUGUUGAUCAGAAUGGUUUCUGUUGUGGCUCAAAGGCAUGUGUCUGAGCCUCAUUGGAGUGAUGCAGAACUCGCCAUCUAAAACCUCAGUUAUUCCGCACCGAACUGAACCUCAGGCCAGACUGGUUGUUUGGGGGGUAAAGGGCCCCACUCUGGUUUCUGGCUUCGAUCUUAAGCUGAUUUUAAGCUCAUCUUGUUGCCAUUCACCCAGGAAAAUUUGAGGAGAGCAAGAAAACCCAGCUAGAUAAAUUUUUUUUCUCAUUUGCUUCUUAGUCUCUUAACAUUCCAUCAGUGUAUAUUCAUUAUAUAUAUAAAGAGAUGGGUUUAUAAUGGCUCAAGAGGAGAAUGCUCACUGACCAUGACUCUCGCCAAUUACCCCUCCUGUCCCCAUCCCAAUUAGUCCCCUAAAAUUUUCAUGUCAUGUGUGUGUGUGUGUGUGUUUAUGUACAAUCUAGGUUCUACAUAGAGAAAUUCUAGUAGUCUGGCCUUCAAAGCUUACUGUAACCAUGCUAAGUGACGUCAACAUCUCUGUAAAUGGCAUGAGUAGCUUUUCUAAAGCCAUUUGUCCUUAAAGUCUUCGUUCUGGCUCAGCAGCUCUUUAAAGACUUAUUUAUUUUUAUCUUGUGCGGAUGAGCAGAUCUGACUUUGCCUCCCAGGAGAAGGCUUACGACACACAGGCCCAGCGCUUUGCCUGGGCCCUUGCUGUUCGGUGGUCUGUGAUGCUCUCUCCUCGGCAGGAGCAUGCUAAGUGUCAGUCCACGUCCUGGGAGUAGCUUUCCCCUCUGUACGACUUGGAGAUAAACACCUCUUCUGUGCACCUCAAUUACUGAAUCCACUGCCCUCAAAUUAGUUCUGUCUAGUCUGUCAGAGGUGUCCCUGAGGCUGUAUUAGUGAAUUGAGUAGAGUCCGGACAUCUGAACUGGCCCACGGGGCCUCCUCCUUCACCCCUCUUGACCUUACCCUGUGCACAGCCCCCCCUACCCUGGUCAUCCUGUAAAAGGCCAGUCCAUCCUUAAGCCUGUCUACUCUUAGAGACUCACGCGUGAUUUGCUUCUUUUUUUUGGGGAGGCACCAAAGCCCCUAUUAAAAUGCACCUAUU
rnacentral:lncRNA from 1 species